UAUGUGACAUCGGACAAAUAACUUCGGACCUCAUUUGUAAAAUGAAUCUUGCGAGACUGUCGUGAGCAUUAAACGAAAACACCAUCUGUGUAGGAUGGCGUACACAUCCUGGGAAGGUACAAUCCUGGGAAGGGUAAUACAGACAACUCGCUCACACGCACCAAAGAGCGAGCAGCAAGCACAGAAAACCCUCCUUCACGCUGUGCGCAGGCGCUCGAGGCAAAGACCCCCGCGGGCGCUCCCGCGGACUCUGCGGCUGCGCAUUCGCACGGUUUUGCGACCGUACUGCUUGACGGCGGCGGUGUCAGCCCUCCGGCUGGUGUUGCCGAGGUAACAAGGGGCGCGUGGGGCUCUGGAAGCUACCCUUGAGAAAUGGCGGAAGCAGUUUUCCACGCCCCAAAGAGGAAAAGAAGAGUGUAUGAGAGUUAUGAAUCUCCUUUGCCGAUCCCUUUUGGUCAGGAUGGUGGGCCUAAGAAAGACUUCAAAAUAUUCACUGCUGAAAUGAUAAACAACAAUGUAAUUGUGAGAAACGCAGAAGAUAUCGAGCAGCUGUAUGGGAAAGGUUAUUUUGGAAAAGGUAUCCUGUCUAGAAGCCGUCCAAACUUCACAAUUUCAGAUCCUAAGCUUGUUGCUAAGUGGAAAGAUAUGAAGACAGACAUGCCUAUAAUCACGUCAGAAAAGUAUCAGCGUAGUAUAGAAUGGGCCACAAAGCUCAUGCAAAGACAGGGGCAGGAUGAGAGUACAGUGCACAGAAUCCUCAAGGAUUACACAAAACCACUCGAGCAUCCUGGUAUAAAAAGGAAUGAAGAAUUUCAAUGGCAUGAUGAGCUGAAUUCUGAAACCAUUCCCAAAAUGGAAGGUAUUGCAGAUAGAGAGGAACUUUCUGUGAUGAAUGGGGGCUCGGAAAAGUCACUAGACCUGGAGGGUCCUAACGAGCAAUCAGACCACCUACAAGAGAGCUCAGGGCCUGACCCACUGACUCCAGAUGGCUUGGAUGAACACUUGGUAGAGGUUGCCACACUGCAGCACUGCCCCCCACCCCACGUUCAUUGCAGCAAAGAUAUUCUCCCCCGGCGUGACACUCAGCCUGGGGACAGGAGUCCCCAAGUGGAUCUCAUCUGUGCCAGAGAGAGAGGGCCCAGUGAUGAGUAUGUGCUGGUAGAGGAAGAUGUGUAUCAUGUGAGCGAGAAAGAAUGUGCCCCACGUGAGGAAUUGGCACCAAAAAAGAGAUUAAUAUGCAGAAGAAAUCCAUAUCGGAUCUUGGAGUAUUUGCAACUUAGCCUAGAAGAGGCCUUUUUCCUGGUCUAUGCUCUAGGAUGUCUAAGCAUCUACUAUGAGAAGGAGCCUUUAACAAUCCUGAAGCUCUGGAAAGCUUUCCCUAUAGUUCAGCCCACAUUCAGGACUACAUACAUGGCAUACCAUUACUUCCGAAGCAAGGGCUGGGUUCCCAAAGUGGGACUGAAGUAUGGGACAGAUUUACUGUUGUAUCGAAAAGGCCCUCCAUUUUACCAUGCAAGUUAUUCUGUCAUUAUUGAAUUAGUCGACGACCAUUUUGAGGGCUCUCUUCGCAGACCUUUCAGCUGGAGGUCACUGGCUGCCUUGAGCAGAGUUUCAGUUAAUGUCUCCAAGGAACUUAUGCUGUGCUAUUUGAUUAAACCCUCUACCAUGACUGACAAAGAGAUGGAGUCACCAGAGUGUAUGAAACGAAUCAAAGUUCAGGAGGUGAUUCUAAGCCGUUGGGUUUCUUCACGAGAGAGAAGUGACCAAGACGAACUUUAACAAUUCAAUCUCAGAAUUCUGAUUUACCAACAAAUACUGUUGAGUGUCCUACAGUAAGCCAAGUUCUGUGUGAGCUCAGGUUCAGCAAGAUUGGAAAUUUGCUCUGUGAUAAAACCACCUUCACAAAUGGCUGUGGUUCAGUGGGGAGAUGCUGCCGCCUUAGAGAGAAGUUGCUUCACCCACUCUCUUCCAAGCAUGUUUUAUGUGGUUCUUAAAUCUCAAACCUCCAAGAUUUGCUUUAAAACUGGAAUUCUUCACCAAAUCCUCUCUCUCAGCUCUCCCAAGGUGUCGAAGCUGCCCAGUGUACCAGCAUGUGCUCAGUAGCAUCACGCUGACUGGCCAUGCACCCUCCAUACAAGAAUUUCACUGGCUUUAUAACAGCACACCACACUCAAGAACGCCACAAAACUUUGUGGAACGAGCACUUUUUACAAGUUGUUUUGUUACCCAGUGCAAAAAAUAUAUACACAAAAAAGAAGGAAUACAUACUUGGCCAAGACUGUAUCUUUUAUGUGACCACCUUUCUCAACUAUCACUUCUAAUUUUUUUUUUCGAAUAAAGGGGAUUUCUUGGGCCUUUAAAACUCCCAUACUUUAAUAGCACCUGGUUGGCUCAGUCAGUUCAGUGUCCAACUCUUGAUCUUAGCUCAGGUCGUGAUCUCACGGUUUGUGGGAUCGAGCUCCUCACUGAGCUCUGUGCUGACAGCAUGGAGCCUGCUUGUGAUUGUCUCUUUCCCUCUCUCUCUCUACCUGUCCUGCUCACGUGCUCUCUCUCUUUCUCAAAUAAGUAAAGUUUAAAAAAAAAAUCACCUACUUUCUUCUUGGGCUUUUCCAGUCCCACAAGAGACGUUUUUACUUAAUACAGCGGGGGAAAUGAUGCGACAAUACAGCACACGUCUAAACAGCACAAGCAUGGAGCAGUCAGCUAAGACCAGCACAUGCCGUGUGGUCUGGACACUCACAACUUGAGUGAUUUUGCUGAUGACUCCUAUACUCAUUGUUUUGUAUUUGGAUAGCCAAUAUACCAUUUUUUUUUGUAAAUAGUUACAGCAGAUUUUCAGAUAGUAGAGUCUAAGAUGGGGCAGACCCCUGUGUUCUUGCUUAUCACACAAUAGGCUUUUUUUCCAAUACAGAAAAUCAAUUUGAUUUCAACAACUACAAAUACAUGGAAAAUGGGAAUUGAAAUUUAAAAAUAAAAAUAGUAUCAUUUAAAAUAACAUAAAUCAUGAAAUACUAAGGUAUAAAUCUUAGAAUCACACAACAGACUUUUGACUUCAAAUGGUGGGAGCCUCCACAAGACGAAGGUUUGAGGCUCAGAGACGUGACCACCCCACACCACCGCCACGGAGUGCGAGCGGAGGACUUGACCCCAGAGCUCUCAGUCCUAUUUAGUGCCUUUAUAAGAUCUCCACAGCUAAAGUGAAACCAACCUAGAAAAGCAUGUGAAGUCAGACAUACAUCACCAUUAAGACCUGAGUGGAGGUUAGAAAGGAAGGCUGCCCAACACUCCAGGCAGGCCUGGUAUGUGCUGGUACAUCUGGGUGGUGGUCCCCUGCCUCAGUGUUGGGGUGCAGCCUGGGGCCCCCACCAGGAACAUGCUCGUGCAUCUGGUUUUGGCAUAAUCUUCAGGAGGUUCACAGAUUCCAUGAGGACCAUCUGUGGACCCCACUUACAAACCUGGAAACGUUGUGUGGUUCUUAACUUGUAAUUAGUCUCCACAGAGAUAAUUUUAUUGAAGGCUGGGUAAUGGGGUGAGCCUUCUACAAAGGAACCAGUCGUAGCUCAGCUCUCCUGUGCACAGCAAGUCGAGAGCUGAGGGCUGUUCUGUGGCCAGAAGGGCUGUUCUGUCGGCUCAGUGAACUGCAUUACCUUCAUGCUGCCUCCUGAAGAACCCAUGGCUAGAACAGGUCGGUCACCCUUGGGAGGUGGGGCCAGCUGGGGCAGCAACAGGACACCGAAAAAUGGUUCUGUAUUGCAAACCUGCCCUGCCUUUAAGGCACCACCUCCUCAGGUUAGACUGAGUAGCUUACAGUUAUUAGGAUUUUUUUUUAAGUUUAUUUUAUAUUUAUUUAUUUUGAAAGAGCACAGGCAGGCGAGGGGCAGAGAGAGAGAGGGAGACAGGGAAUCCCAGGCAGGCUCUGCAAUGUCAGCACACAGCCCAACGCUAGGCUCAAACCCACAAACCUUGAUGACCUGAGCUGAAAUCAAGAGUUGGAUGCUUAACCUCCUGACCAACCCAGUUGCCCCAGUCUUCAGGAUUUUUAAAAUGUUGAGACUCUGGUUGUCAGCACUUGCUUGGUUUCUUUAAUUGGCCUUGGCUGGAUGACAAGAUGGCUGUGGUUACAUGCUUUGGAGUCAGGCACAGGUUUGCAUCCCAACUCAUCCCCUUACUCACCAUGUGAUCUUAACCUGUUUCCUCAUCUAUAAAAUAGAAUUAAUGUUCUCAGCCUUCACAUACAAGGGAAUCCUGUUCAGCCACAAAAAGGAGUGAAGAGCUGGUACGUGCAACAUGGAUGGAUCUCAAACACGUAUCAAGUGAAAGAAAUGCCACAUAGUGUUUGAUUCCAGGUAUAUAUCCAAAAUAGGUAAAUUCAUAGAGAACACAGAUCAGUGGUUCCCAGGGUCAGUGGGGAAGGACUAAGGAGCAACUGUUUGGUGGGUCCAGAGUCUCCUUUAGAGGUAAUAGAAUGUUUUGGAAGUGGAGGUGAUGGUUGCACAACACUGAAUCUACUAAGUGCAGAAUCUUUCCCUUGAAAAUAGGUUUAUGGAAUAAGAAUCUCACCUCCAUGAGAAAAAAAAAAUAAAUAAAAAUAAUAAUGAUGUCCAGAGGCUUGCUGGAAGAUUAAGUGUCUUGGCCCUUACAAGGUGCUUAUUAGUACCAUGCCUGGCUCGUGAUGGACUUCCAGUAAUUUCCAGCUAUGCUGAUUCAUUUGGUGAGACAAGAGGAAGUUCUGUCUUAAGAACCACCAUUACCCAUCAUCUGAAGGCAGUGAUUUGUGCAGUCGCUUAUCGUAUGUUGAUUCUCUUAGCUUCAGUUUUAGAGACUGACAUUUUUCUGACCUCAUUCCCAGACUGUGCGGGGAAAUCCCGAUGUCUGUGCCUCUACUGACCUAAGUUCUCCUGUAAGGAGACUCAGUUCUAUUAAGUGAUUCAUACAGGGAUUGGCAGGGAUUAAACCAACAUGAAUGGGACGUGGUUUUAGGCAGUUUAACUGGGAUUGAGCUGCUCAGGUUUCCCUACAUUUUUGAGCAUAGUCUGUACACAAGUCUGAAAAGUCAUUGUUACUUGUGGAAUAAAAUUUUGAUUCUUUUUUUUUUUUUUUUGCCCUUAUUGUUAAAGCAUUGUCAUUUUCUUUCUUCUUUUUUUUUAAGUUGCUGUUUACUUGAAUUGGUUUUUAACUUAGUUUUCCCCUUGUGGAGGAGUACUUAGGUUGAAAAGAAAUGAGUUAUCUUCUCCCCACCACCUACCUCCCAUUUGUGAUUUUACCAACUAAAUUGAUUUCUUAAAAAUCUGAUUACAGACUCAAAUAAUUAUACCAUGAAUGUUAACUUCCAUGAAACUAACUGAGGUCCAUUUCUAAAAUUGAGAGUUAUCUAAUGCUUGAUUUAUCUUCAAUCUUUACUUUUUUUAUAUAUAAGCUGAAAAAGUUUAGUCUUUCUACCACUUCGUGUAAUACAGGGAGACAUCCUGUAGGAGUACAUGAUAUGAAAAAGCACAUUUGUGAAACUGUUAAACUAAGAGGUAGUGUUUUUUUUAAAUUUCAAAGUAAUUCACUCUUUUUUAAAAAAUGAAAGAUUGCAAGCAUUUAAGAUGUUUAGAAUCUUUUUAUUUUCAGAAACAAUGU